rnacentral:rRNA from 1 species
CAGUAGCCGCGGGAAUACGGAGGGUGCAAGCGUUAAUCGGAAUUACUGGGCGUAAAGCGCACGCAGGCGGUCUGACAAGUCAGAUGUGAAAUCCCCGGGCUUAACCUGGGAACUGCAUUUGAAACUGUCAGGCUGGAGUCUUGUAGAGGGGGGUAGAAUUCCAGGUGUAGCGGUGAAAUGCGUAGAGAUCUGGAGGAAUACCGGUGGCGAAGGCGGCCCCCUGGACAAAGACUGACGCUCAGGUGCGAAAGCGUGGGGAGCAAACAGGAUUAGAUACCCGAGUAGUCCCUGUCUCUUAUAC